rnacentral:lncRNA from 1 species
AUGAGUUCACUGAACACGAUCAACGAAGAGUUCUCAUAUUCAUGUCACAUGAGAACUCAUGGUUGGGAUCAUGCAAAGUAGUCCUUUGACCUGAGGCAUCACAGUUGUCUUGUGGUUAAGUCUUUAAUCUUUGAUUAUGUCAAAGUCACCCCAUCCGCGGGUGUCCACGACAUCGUUGGGGUUAAGCCACUUAGCCAUGGAGGCAAUUGAAUGCGCAACAAGGGAUCUCUAACCUUCAAACCGUUUGGGGGGAGAAUACUCUAUGAUAUGAUUGAGAAUCUCUGAUCAGAGUAUGAAUGAGAUUUAGGAAGGUGUUCCAAAUCACAUUCAAGGUAAUCAUAUAAGUAAACGAAUCACAUUGGAUAGUAGACAUGAAUAAACUAUCAAACCAAACAAUGUGGUCAAGAGUAUUGUAUUAGAGAAAGACCGUAUUGCAUUUGUAAUCCUAAACUGAAUAGGUUCUCCACCUCUUCUGAUUAGCUUGGGUAACCAUGAUAUGCUGCUAGGUGUCACUCAUGGUUUGUGGAAACCCUUAACGUGUAUAAUCACUAAAGGGAGAAUUGAAAGUAAGUUUCAAUUAUCAAUCGGUUUGAAAUAGUUCUAAUCGCCCACUACCUCGCUAAAAGGAACCUAAUGGAUCGUACACCGUGUAAGGUAAAGAUUGAAGAAACAACGGAGAUGAGUAAGAAUAAUUAAAUGGUUUAAUUAUUUAUGGCAAGGAUUAAUUAAUAUGUUAAUUAAUCAAACGAAUAAGUUCGUUAAAAGACCACGGGUUAGUUUUGGGCCUCAAGGCCCAAUGGGCUUCGAACGUCAAGCCCAUUGACUUAAGUUGUAUGACAACUUAAUGACUAUUAAUUCACAAAGGCCCAAAAGCCCAAUAAAACCCUUGUGGCCGGCCAUGUUAGAAGAAUGGGCUUUUGGUUCUUUAGGUCACUUAUUUGAAGGGACUAUAUAAAAGACUUUAUAGCCUUAAUUCAUUAAGGGUUUCUUUUUAGGAAAUUGGAGAGAACACAAAGCUCUCCUUUCUGUCUAAAGAGGCCUGCCACCCUAGAGGAAAUUAACUAGCAAUCUUGCUUCCUCUAGGUCACUCAUUUCUUCAUCAAUCCGUCCUUGGUGUGGAGACUUAGAGGUUCUCAAUUUUGGGAACUUGGAGAAUCUAUUGUUCCAUCCAAAUCCAUGGAUCUAAGAAGCAAAGAAUGAAGGCCCUCUCCUUGGGUGAUUAGCCUUUGCUCAUGCAAAGAGGAAUCUACAAAGGUAUAAAUUUCUCAACUCACUUUGUUUUGAGUUGAGUCUUGGUUCACCAAUCUACUAGGCUUUGAAUUUCAUGGGUAAUGUUUUGUUUUUGAGUGCAUGCUAGCAUGAUUCUGCCUUUAAUUGUUAAUUGCAUGCUUAUAGAUGUUGCUCAAAUGAACAUGUUUUCACAAAAUCAUCCUUCAAGUGGUAUCAGAGCCUAGGUCUAGUAGUUGGUGAAUCCUUUUGGGUUUUGUAGUUCAUAGUUUUGAU